CCUACGGGUGGCAGCAGUCGAGAAUCAUUCACAAUGGGGGAAACCCUGAUGGUGCGACGUCGCGUGAGUGAAGAAGUAUCUCGGUACGUAAAGCUCUAUCAGCAGGGAAGAAAAUGACGGUACCUGACUAAGAAGCCCCGGCCAACUACGUGCCAGCAGCCGCGGUAAUACGUAGGGGGCAAGCGUUAUCCGGAUUUACUGGGUGUAAAGGGAGCGUAGACGGCAGCACAAGUCUGGAGUGAAAUCCCGGGGCUUAACCCCGGAACUGCUUUUGAAACUGUGCGGCUGGAGUGCAGGAGGGGUAAGCGGAAUUCGUGGUGUAGCGGUGAAAUGCGUAGAUAUUAGGAAGAACACCGGUGGCGAAGGCAGCUUACUGGACUGCAACUGACGUUGAGGCUCGAAAGCGUGGGGAUCAAACAGGAUUAGAUACCCUAGUAGUC
rnacentral:rRNA from 1 species